rnacentral:rRNA from 1 species
UACGUAGGUUGCAAGCGUUAUCCGGAAUUAUUGGGCGUAAAGAGCUCGUAGGCGGUUUGUUAAGUCUGUCGUGAAAGCCCCGGGCUCAACCUGGGAAUGGCGAUGGAAACUGGCGAGCUAGAGUACGGUAGAGGAGAGUGGAAUUCCCGGUGUAGCAGUGAAAUGCGUAGAGAUCGGGAGGAACAUCAGUUGCGAAGGCGGCUCUCUGGACCAGUACUGACGCUGAGGCACGAAAGCGUGGGGAGCAAACAGG